rnacentral:rRNA from 1 species
CCUACGGGAGGCAGCAGUGAGGAAUAUUGGUCAAUGGACGAGAGUCUGAACCAGCCAAGUAGCGUGAAGGAUGACUGCCCUAUGGGUUGUAAACUUCUUUUAUAUGGGAAUAAAAUGUUCCACGUGUGGGAUUUUGUAUGUACCAUAUGAAUAAGGAUCGGCUAACUCCGUGCCAGCAGCCGCGGUAAUACGGAGGAUCCGAGCGUUAUCCGGAUUUAUUUGGUUUAAAGGGAGCGUAGGUGGAUUGUUAAGUCAGUUGUGAAAGUUUGCGGCUCAACCGUAAAAUUGGAGUUGAAACUGGCAGUCUUGAGUACAGUAGAGGUGGGCGGAAUUCGUGGUGUAGCGGUGAAAUGCUUAGAUAUCACGAAGAACUCCGAUUGCGAAGGCAGCUCACUGGACUGCAACUGACACUGAGGCUCGAAAGUGUGGGUAUCAAACAGGAUUAGAUACCCUAGUAGUC